GCCCUGGUAGCUCAGUGGUAGAGCACGAGUUUCGUAAACUCGGGGUCGAGGGUUCAAAUCCCUCCCGGGGCU
rnacentral:tRNA from 1 species